GAGCACUUACUAUUCCUACAACAGUAAGACUGCUCUUGUGAGAAACCUUAUAGAUUUUUCUGUUGUCAUUUAGAUUUACACAGGAAAUAAAUAAAGUUUAUGCCAAACUGCAUUGCUUAAACAGGAUUAAACAAUUACAUUCACUACUCUCCAGGGAGGGCCCAUUAUCACAGGCAAAUAUAGUAUCCCCUAAAUGUAUUUAGAAUUAGUCUUUGGCUUACUAUGUGUUAACUAAAUUUAGGGAUGAAAUAAAGCAAGCAUAAAUAUCAAGGGGAAGAAAAGGAGAAUGAACUAACAGGUUUAACAACCUGUUUACUCAGGAACUGUAGAAACUCAACUGUAUGUGUCUUUUAGUCAAAUAACCUCUUUGGUUUCUACAUUCUUUCAUAAAAGGCAGCUGAACCUUUAAGUCUGAGUACUUUACCUUAGAAGACAGUUGUCAGUUUAAAAAGCAUUUGAGAUCAUUAAAAAAAAUGGUAUCAAGUAAAAACUACCCAAGGGUUUGUGUAUAGUAGGUUAACGACCAUUUAGGGAUGGUCACGGAAGGUAUUUUAGCCUGAACACCCACCAGAAAACUUUAGUAGUGUUUCAUGUAUACAUAUGUAUAAAGUACCUUUCAUUUUACAAUUUAAUUUUAAACACAUGAAAAAGGGUAGGAAAAAAUUAAAGUUAUCUUUAUCUAAAGAUCCUUUUCUUCUCAAUACAGUAUUUAUGCUGGUUUUAAAGUCUAUCCUCAAAAAAUUAACUACAUAAAAAGGCAGCAAUCCUUUCUCAAACCCACUAGAGACUACAGAGGAAGGAUUGACAAAAACAUAAAACUUAGUAUCAUUUUUAAAAUCAAAGUCUGUAGGGGACUCUUAUUUGGGAAAAAGAUCCUUUUAACCACGUAUGACAAAACAGUCCCUCUGUCCUCCUUAGUCCCCGGGCCAGAGCCUCUUGGGACUCUCUACUUCCUUUGGUAGCAAUUCUGGAAAUUAAUGCUAUAACUGCUAAUCUGUCUGGUAGGUAAUCAGCAUUUCUCUCCCUGAAUUCUUCCUAACCUCCUCACUCCCAAGGGAGGGACUCUCUGCUAGGGCAGAAACAGUAUUGACAGGCCUAAAACCACAUGCAGACUAAGAUUAGAGUGUUAAGUCAAGAGAAAACAUUAAAUUAACAAGAGAGAAAGGCUGGUGGGGAGGGGAGAAGUAGUAACUGGCACGCCAUCCUAUUUACACACUGACUUAAACAAACUAGCUAAAAUCAAGGUAAUGUCUGCCCAGAGGAUAUUACAAUUUACCAACAUAAAAGAUAAAAACAAGCAGCAACUUUCACAUAAAAUUAAUCAAGAAAAAUGAGUAAGAAUUGUCAGUAGCAUCUAUCUCCUCACUGUGUUUGAACUGCACAUUAUAACCAUUAGUCCAUUAGUACAGCAGCUUGCUAAGAAUUGACUUUGGUUCAAGCUUAGUUUAAAAAACAAAACAAAACAAACAAAACACCCACACCAUACAAAAUAGGUGGAUGAGCAUCUGUGAGUUUCCCUGCUUGCAGUUCACUGAUUUUUGGAGGGAUUUUAGGAAAAGUUAAAGGUAAAAGAAAUUAUUCAGGGGUGAAAAUUAAAUACUCUGGGAAAUAACCAAAAGGAACUAAAAAAAAUUAAAGGGAUCAAAAUGUUUUUGACCUUUAAUAUUAGUAUGACCUUCUCCCAACUGAGAAACAACAACAAAAAAGGUACACAUCUGUGUCUGCUACUGCCUCGCUGAACUUUUUCUCUGCAGAGAAACAAAUGCACAGUUUCCUGCGGCAAAGCAAAGCAAUCAGAAGGAGAGUCACUCCCAGCUCAAAGUGCAGACCACCAGGAACUGAAGCAAGUGCCCUCAGACGCCAAAUGGGAACCUUUAACUCCAGUAAGGGCAACUCAGAGCUUCACUGCAGUGAUUCCGUCAUUUGUAAAAAUUCUGGUACAGAUAGUAUAAUAAUAGGAUAUUGACAAAUGGGGGAAUUUAGUCUCUAAAUUGCCCUCAUCCAUCUUCAUCCAUUUUCACAAGUUCUUCCUUUUCAAUGGGCUCAUUUAUGUAGUCUAGAAACACCCUGAAAGCAAUUACAGGAGGAAAUCACUUUUUACAUCAAAUAGGAGAUGCAUGUCGUCAUCAGAUCUACUUAGCAGGGGCCUAACCAACCAAGAGACACUUGAGGCUGAGAAGUUCUUGCUCAGCAUCUCUCUGAAGUUCCACAGAUCCCUUGCCCAGCCAGGAAAGGGCCUCUGUCAGUCAGGGGACUGAGGAGACUCUCAGGCUUGGAGAAACUUGUGACCCACUCAGUGGACAGGAAGUCUGUGACUCUCUAGAGAACGGUGGUACACUCGCUCAGGCUCUUCAUACUGACCUCUCUGGGAUACCUCGUUAGUAGAAAACAGUUCAACAGAAUUGCUUUAGAAAACAAGGGAGAGAACUGUCGCACAACUUCAGUAUGCCAAUUCGAUUCUGACCAAGUAAAUAAAAGGAAGUUUGGAUGAAAAUUUUUCAUAAAAUGAAAAAACAAACAAGCAAACAAACAAACACUAACAGUAGGAGCAUUUUUUUAAGAGAUAAGAAAUCAGGAGAGCCACCAAGUCAGGUGUCUGCAGUAGUCUUUGCUCUUCGGAACCAAACCCUGCCCUGCAACAGGCACAGCUGUUCCCAUGGGAAGUAGAAGGAAGCGUCACUGUUGCACCACAGGGUCUGGGCCUCAGGCUGCUCAAUGAUUCGGGGUGAGUGAGAGCCACGGCUCAGCAGGAAUUCCUUCCUACACACAAGUGCUCCAAAGGCACCGCCUGAUGGGGAGGGGCGUGUGUAAGGCAGAAGUGUUUGCACACACUGCCUUCAGCUUCUGCACCAAGCCUCUUGCAUAAGUGGCAAAAGAAAAUCGUUUUCUAGCACCUCUGUAAGAGUCACCAAGGAUAAGGAAACCAGCACGAACAUUCCCAGGAGUUAAGGACCUAAGUCUCCCUUGAUCCCAAACCCUCCCUCCCCACAGUGUGGGCGCUCACUGAAACAGGAUCCAGGAGCAAGAGAUAAACAUGUUCAAUAUAUAUAUAUAGAUAUAUAUAUAUAUAUAUAUGUAUAAACAAACAAUAUCAGAGAUACAGUAAUACAGGCCUGCCUAAAUUGUACCAGUUAAGAAAGGAACCCCCAACACAAUUGAUAUGAUUAUAAACACCUUGUUAUGACUUAAUGGUCUGUACAACAGACCUAUAAAAAUGAUUUUUUUUUU
rnacentral:lncRNA from 1 species